rnacentral:lncRNA from 1 species
UUUGGGUGUACUGUCGGUUUGCCAUUGUGUAACAUCGAUACGUCUUGGUACGUACCGUAUGUCGAUACACUAGUACAGUCCAAGAUUGCAUAUGUUGUAUAUAUGUAUAUAUAUAUGUAUAUACAUAUAUGUAUGUAUAUACAUAUCCAUAUAUGUAUGUAUAUAUAUGCAUAUAUAUAUACGACUUCGGUACAGUGAACCUAGUGGAUGCAUGUGAAAAGAUUUGUAUCAAUAAAUUCAUCUUUGUCGAAAUCUGAUCGUUACCAACUUGUGUUGAUAAGUAAUAGACAAGUUUCAAAUGUUACAAAUAAGGGCUGAGAUCGUCCUAUUUCAAACGGUCAAUUUAUAGGAAAGGGAUUUUAAACCCUUUUCUCCCCCCUCUUUUAACUCAUAUCACUCUCUCAAUCUCUUCAGCUCUCUAAAACUCAUUUUUACUCGCAUCUCUCUCUCAAUCUCACAUUUUCAUUCUCCUACACUCAACAAGGCUACGAUUUAUGGAUUGGAUUAAAUUUGGGAUGAUUAAGAAGAAGAUCCCUCUCGGUUAGAAUGUGGUGAAAAGAGCCGGACAAUAUCAAGUCAAAUUGCUCUAGAAAUUAGAGACACCCAACUGUCACAAUCGUUCCCCCGACAUGCAACAACAAAGGUAAAGGGGAAGACAGUAGCAUUAAUCGCACCGUUGGAAAGAAUCGAGUCGAGUGACGAAACACCUUCUCAAUUAUAUUUAACAACCAGCUCAGACCAGAGAUAUGGCAGCGACGUGGGCAGUAGUGUCUUAACCAAUGAUGGCGACGACCUCGAGGAGUCGAUAGUCUAAUCUAUAUAAUUUGAGGGUGGUGCAUGGACCGCAAAAUUGUAUUUUACAUGCCGUCUAAGAUUUAAAUCAUCGAAUUUGACAAGAUAUUGAUUAAGUUUAUACAUGGAAGGGGGAGAGAAAGGCAGUGGAUGAUUUUGAGUAGAUGCGACAGAACUUACACUAUGUAGACACAAAGCGAAAAUUAUCAUAUUCAUAAUCGUCGUAUCAUGGAGAAUCUUUUGACCAGCAACAGUAUGGUGAUGGUCAUGCUUCACCGAGUAAUUGUACGUUGUUCGAUCUUAUGAUACAAAACAACAAAUCAAUAGCAAAAGUAGAAGUUUUGACAUUCUUCAUGCUCCGCACUAAUACAUGUCAUAAUCGUACUUGCCUCUAGAGCCACCUCACACACGUGUGAUUCAUGACGAUCAGACUACGACCAUCACUAUAUUGAUGCACCAAUGGCAUAUGGUGUAUUAUUAUAUUAUGUCGUGAGAUCAAUUUUAGGAUUGGGUCUAACAAAUAUAUCAAAUUGAUAUACAGAUACAUAGGAUCGAGGACCUUGGUCCAUUUCCUAUGGAGUCUCAUUUUUACUUGCAUCUCUCUCUCAUUCUCACAUUUUCAUUCUCCUACACUCAACAAGGCUACGAUUUAUGGGUUGGAUUAAAUUUGGGAUGAUUAAGAAGAAGAUCCCUCUCGGUUAGAAUGUGGCGAAAAGCGUCGGACAACAUCGAGUCAAAUUGCUUUAGAAAUUAGAGACACCCAACUGUCACAAUCGUUCCCCCGACAUGCAAUGACAAAGGUAAAGGGGAAAGCAGUAGCAUCAAUCGCACCGUUGGAAAGAAUCGAGUCGAGUGACGAAACACCUUCUCAAUUAUAUUUAACAACCAGCUCAGACCAGAGAUAUGGCAACGACGUGGGCAAUAGUGUCUUAACCAAUGAUGGCGACGACCUCGGGGAGUCGAUAGUCUAAUCUAUAUAAUUUGAGGGUGGUGCAUGGAUCGCAAAACCGUAUUUUACAUGUCGUCUAAGAUUUAAAUCAUCGAAUUUGACAAGAUAUUGAUUAAGUUUAUACAUGGAAGGGGGAGAGAAAGACAGUGGAUGAUUUUGAGCAGAUGCGACAGAACUUACACUAUGCAGACACAAAGCGAAAAUUAUCAUAUUCAUAAUCGUCGUAUCAUGGAGAAUCGUUUGACCAGCAACAGUAUGGUGAUGGUCAUGCUUCACCGAGCAAUUGUACGUUGUUCGAUCUUAUGAUACAAAACAACAAAUCAAUAGCAAAAGUAGAAGUUUUGACAUUCUUCAUGCUCCGCACUAAUACAUGUCAUAAUCGUACUUGCCUCUGGAGCCACCUCACACACGUGUGAUUCAUGACGAUCAAACUACGACCAUCACUAUAUUGAUGCACCAAUGACAUACGGUGUAUUAGUAUAUUAUGUCGUGAGAUCAAUUUUAGGAUUGGGUCUAACAAAUAUAUCAAAUUGAUAUACAGAUACAUAGGAUCGAGGACCUUGGUCCAUUUCCUAUGGAGUCUCAUUUUUACUCGCAUCUCUCUCUCAUUCUCACAUUUUCAUUCUCCUACACUCAACAAGGCUACGAUUUAUGGAUUGGAUUAAAUUUGGGAUGAUUAAGAAGAAGAUCCCUCUCGAUUAGAAUGUGGCGAAAAGAGUCGGACAACAUCGAGUCAAAUUACUCUAGAAAUUAGAGACACCCAACUGUCACAAUCGUUCCCCCGACAUACAACGACAAAGGUAAAGGGGAAGGCAGUGGCAUCAAUCGCACCGUUGGAAAGAAUCGAGUCGAGUGACGAAACACCUUCUCAAUUAUAUUUAACAACCAGCUCAGUCCAGAGAUAUAGCAGCGACGUGGGCAGUAGUGUCUUAACCAAUGAUGGCGACGACCUCGGGGAGUCGAUAGUCUAAUCUACAUAAUUUGAGGGUGGUGCAUGGACCGCAAAACAGUAUUUUACGUGCCGUCUAAGAUUUAAAUCAUCGAAUUCGACAAGAUAUUGAUUAAGUUUAUACAUGGAAGGGGGAGAGGAAGGCAGUGGAUGAUUUUGAGCAGAUGCGACAGAACUUACACUAUGCAGACACAAAGCGAAACUUAUUAUAUUAAUAGUCGUCGUAUCAUGGAGAAUAUUUUGACCAACAACAGUAUGGUGAUGGUCAUGCUUCACCGAGCAAUUGUACGUUGUUCGAUCUUAUGAUACAAAACAACAAAUCAAUAGCAAAAGUAGAAGUUUUGACAUUCUUCAUACUCCGCACUAAUACAUGUCAUAAUCGUACUUGCCUCAGGAGCCACCUCAGACAUGUGUGAUUCAUGACGAUCAGACUACGACCAUCACUAUAUUGAUGCACCAAUGGCAUACGGUGUAUUAGUAUAUUAUGUCGUGAGAUCAAUUUUAGGAUUGGGUCUAACAAAUAUAUCAAAUUGAUAUACAAAUACAUAGGAUCGAAUACCUUGGUCCAUUUCCUGUGGAGUCUCAUUUUCUUCUCUUGUGGUAGAACUNNNNNNNNNNNNNNNNNNNNCUUUUUACAAAUUGGAUCAAGGUUUUUCUUUCUCUCAUCUACCUGUUUGCUUCUUGUUUUGCCCAUUGACUAUUAGAGGCAUAAGACAUGCAUUCGUUUCAAGUUUUUAGUUGUCUAGAAUUCUAAAUUCAUAUUGAUGUGGCAGGUGUUCAUGAGUUGAAUAGCAUCAAUUCAUAUUGUAAAUUUAUGUUUUUUAUUGAUAAUACUUCUCACAUUGAAGUAUAAAAGAUGAGAGAUCCCCAGGAAUCUCUGAGUUGAUAGGCUUUUUAUUUAUUGAUAACACUUCUGGCAUUGGAAGGACAUGAAACAAAGUGUCUAGAGUCACAACGGACAUUGAAAGGAACAUAUGCAUCGAUUAUUAUCACAAACACCGUCUCCAGUAUAAGUUCUAGUGCAUCCCUCCGCACAAUUUGAAUCGGUACAUGGGCUGUCUAAGACAACUUUGCAGAUACGAUCAGGUUGUUGUGCCUCAACCACAACAUCAGCUGUUGCAAAGGUAAAUGCAUAAGUAAGGCGACCGUUACGUUUUUAUCUAGAUAUUAUAUGCAAUCAAACAGAAGUUUUUAUAUUGUUGAUAAUAGCAUGAGGUAAUACUGUCACAUGAGUUGUUUAAGUUAGGUGACAAUUACAUUUUUAUCUAGAUAUUAUAUGUAAUCAAACAUGAGUUUUUAUAUUGUUGAUAAUAGCAUGAGGUAAUACUAUCACAUGUGUUGUUAAUCUUAUGCUGAAUUCUGUCCUCUCGUUAAGACACCCAAAUAUAUAUCGCACCUAUUUUAGAAACCAUGAAUUAGAAUCACUUUUUGUGGAGUUUGAUGUGGUAGGAGAAAGCUAGGAGAAAAUGCAAUUUUAUUUUUAUUUUUGCACCUUGAUAUGAUGAAGCCAAAUCUCAAGAGAAAAAAAAAAAGGUAGGUUGGUUGAAGCCAAAGAACCUGUACACAAAAAUUGUACCUUUUUUUUUCUUACCCAAUGCAUAUUGAUGAUGAGUUGGUUUAAUCUUUUACUAUGACUUGGUAUUGACUAUUGAGAAUUAAUUAAAAUUACCAACAUGAUUAACCAACCCAUGAAUACCUCAAAGAGUAUGGUUGUUUAGAUAUUUAUUUAGCAUGAACUAAAGACUUUUGUUUAGACCAUCAUAUCAAAUGCCCUCUUAAUAACAAUUCAAGAAAAGAAAAUCAUAUUGAAAUAAGAACUCUAUUUUGACCCCACUUUUCUCAUAAAAUAUGGUUCAAUCAAAAUCUAUAAUACCUGACUUGUCGGAAUUUUAUGAUUUUUUAUUUGUCAAAGUUGGCUUGCAAAUGAGAGCAAAUUAGAGAAGAAAAGACAUGCAUGUUCGAGCUUACUUGUAAAAAGGACGAGAAGAAGGAUAACACACGCGAUCUUCGCCCCCAUGAUAAAGAAGGUUAGAAGGUUCCUGUUCACCAAAUUAUACAUUUGAUGGUGACUACAAUGUGAAGUUUAUAUAGAGGAGCUUCAUCACCCGUAUCAAUUGAAUUCAUCCCCCUUGAUAAAUAAGAUUUGGUAGUGGAUGCCAUAUUUUCUAGCACAUUAAGGGGGUUUAUCAACACUAUACAAUUGAAACAUUUAUAAUUUUCAGGUAUCAAAUCAUGGAAACACCCAAGAAUUCCAUGGAUCAAUUAAACAAACUACAAUGUAUAUAUAUAUGUGCAUAUACCUAUGCAUGG